AAUAGUAGUAACAGUAGUAGCAAUAGUAGUAGAAGUAGCAGUAGCAGUAAUAGUAAUAGCAAUAAUAGUAUUAGCAGUAGUAAUAGUAACAGUGGUAGUAGUAGUAGUGUAGCAGCAGUAGCAGUAUUAGCAGUAAUAAAAAUAAUAACAGUAGUAGUAGUACCUGCUGUAUUAGUAGUAACAGUAAUAACAACAGUAAACGUAAUAGUAGUAGCAGUAGUAUUAGUAGUAGUAGUACCAUUAAUAGUAGUAGUACUAGUACUAGUACCUACAAAUACUCAUGUAUUUGAAGGCAGGCUUUUAGCAUCAACCAUAAAUCAAAACUUGAGUUUCUCAAUUAGUCUCUCUU
rnacentral:lncRNA from 1 species